CAAAUACUCCCUCCCUCCGGAAAUACUUGUCAUCAAAAUGGAUAAAAGGAAAUGUAUGUGGACGUAUUUUAGUUUUAGAUACAUCUCUUUUUAUCCAUUUUGAUGACAAGUAUUUUCGGAUGGGGGGAGUAGAAA
rfam:Triticum aestivum genome assembly, contig: Triticum_aestivum_CS42_TGACv1_scaffold_453964_5DL